GGCGCUUCGAGUGACGUAACGAACCGGGAUGCGCGCGCCAGACACUGGCCUCCAUGACCGCCGCGACGUGCACGAGCGCUCCUGCACCUCUUAUGUGAGGUGGCACCACACAGAGGCUGUAUACAGCGGGCUUCAACCCCGGAGAGCCACACGAUGCAGACCUCCUCCAGCACUGGUCUUCUGGGUGUCAUUUAGCGUUUGACUGAUAUGGCCCGUGUAACUGAAGCGUGACUGCAGGAAAAGGACUCACAGACCCAAACCGUGAUCAUCUAUUACUACGUGAUCAUCAGAUCAGCUCUGAUAGAGACCUGUCUUCUGCACUCCAAAAGCGGUGAUGAAGAUGUUGAUGAUGACGGUGAGGAACACCAGCACAGUGGCCACGUUGUUUAUCAUGUCCAGCUUCCUCUGAUUGGCCACAUCGUUGAUGUUUUUGCGCGC